UAACGAGCGCAACCCCUACUGCUAGUUGCCAGCGGGUCAUGCCGGGGACGUCUAGCGGAACUGCCAGCGUAAGCUGCGAGAAGUGGGGAUGACGUCAAAUCAGCACGGCCCUUACGUCCAGGGCUACACACGUGUUACAAUGGCCAGUACAGAGGGCAGCCACCCCGCGAGGGGGCGCUAAUCCUAAAAGCUGGUCCCAGUUCGGAUCGGAGUCUGCAACCCGACUCCGUGAAGCUGGAUUCGCUAGUAAUCGCGCAUCAGCCACGGCGCGGUGAAUACGUUCCCGGGCCUU
rnacentral:rRNA from 1 species